GAGCAUCCUCACACCGGGGCUCCUGCCACGGAGCCGCCAGCAAAGCUGCUUGGAAAUUUUGGCAGGGGACUCCCCUGCUAAAAAAAACCAAGGCAGGGUUUUGGUGCAGCCUGCUUCAAGAUCUAGAUCUUAUCCUAAACAAGAAAGUCAUUCUAAACCCUGGAGAAUGCAUUGAGAAUUAAUAUUGAUUAUUAGGAAUAAUAUUCAUACUCGGAAUGGCACUGCAGUGUCUAGGGAAAGGAUUCCUCCAGGACCAGUGUUGGAGGCAGCAGCUGUGCCACUGGAACACCUUUCACAGGAGCACUCUCCAAACUUCAAACACCUGACCCUGCAGCACAGAGGAUCCCAGGAGGGCUGUGAGGGUCCCCAGGAGCCAGCAG